UAAGUAAAAGGAGUUUUGAACUUGGA
rnacentral:piRNA from 1 species